CCUACGGGUGGCAGCAGUGAGGAAUAUUGGUCAAUGGACGAGAGUCUGAACCAGCCAAGUAGCGUGAAGGAUGACUGCCCUAUGGGUUGUAAACUUCUUUUAUAUGGGAAUAAAAUGUUCCACGUGUGGGAUUUUGUAUGUACCAUAUGAAUAAGGAUCGGCUAACUCCGUGCCAGCAGCCGCGGUAAUACGGAGGAUCCGAGCGUUAUCCGGAUUUAUUGGGUUUAAAGGGAGCGUAGGUGGAUUGUUAAGUCAGUUGUGAAAGUUUGCGGCUCAACCGUGAAAUUGCAGUGGAAACUGGCAGUCUUGAGUACAGUAGAGGUAGGCGGAAUUCGUGGUGUAGCGGUGAAAUGCUUAGAUAUCACGAAGAACUCCGAUUGCGAAGGCAGUUCACUGGACUGCAACUGACACUGAGGCUCGAAGGUGUGGGUAUCAAACAGGAUUAGAUACCCUUGUAGUC
rnacentral:rRNA from 1 species